rnacentral:misc_RNA from 1 species
AAAAGGACAAUCUUCUCAAUCUGAAAUUGUUAUUACAAGAAAUAAUUUAACAUGAAUCCAUAUUCAAACUCAAGAUACUAAUUGCACUUGAAAUUUUAUGAGAAUCUCAUGAAGUAUCUUAAAUGUGCCACAAAGUUUCUGCACUGGUACACAAUUGAGAAGUGGUUGUCAAAACACAAGCAAAAUACCCACAUACAAACACAAUAUAUUUUUGUACAGACAUACUGUUAUCUAUUGCAUGCAGCCAUGCCAACUUCAUGCCUCUGUG